rnacentral:rRNA from 1 species
AUGAAUAAAAGUCGUAACAAGGUCUCCGUUGGUGAACCAGCGGAGGGAUCAUUA